rnacentral:rRNA from 1 species
AUUGAACGCUGGCGGCAGGCCUAACACAUGCAAGUCGAGCGGCAGCGGGAAAGUAGCUUGCUACUUUUGCCGGCGAGCGGCGGACGGGUGAGUAAUGCCUGGGAAAUUGCCCAGUCGAGGGGGAUAACAGUUGGAAACGACUGCUAAUACCGCAUACGCCCUACGGGGGAAAGCAGGGGACCUUCGGGCCUUGCGCGAUUGGAUAUGCCCAGGUGGGAUUAGCUAGUUGGUGAGGUAAUGGCUCACCAAGGCGACGAUCCCUAGCUGGUCUGAGAGGAUGAUCAGCCACACCGGAACUGAGACAUGGUCCAGACUCCUACGGGAGGCAGCAGUGGGGAAUAUUGCACAAUGGGGGAAACCCUGAUGCAGCCAUGCCGCGUGUGUGAAGAAGGCCUUCGGGUUGUAAAGCACUUUCAGCGAGGAGGAAAGGUUGAUGCCUAAUACGUAUCAACUGUGACGUUACUCGCAGAAGAAGCACCGGCUAACUCCGUGCCAGCAGCCGCGGUAACAC